rnacentral:rRNA from 1 species
AGCGGGCCUCUCCAUGGAAGCUCGCGCUCGAGGAUGAGCCUGCGGCCCAUCAGCUAGUUGGUGAGGUAAGAGCUCACCAAGGCCGAGACGGGUAGCUGGUCUGAGAGGAUGAGCAGCCACACUGGAACUGAGAUACGGUCCAGACUCCUACGGGAGGCAGCAGUGGGGAAUCUUGCGCAAUGGGCGAAAGCCUGACGCAGCGACGCCGCGUGAGCGAUGAAGGCCCUCGGGUCGUAAAGCUCUGUGGGGAGGGAAGAAUGAGCGUAGGCCAAUACCCUACGUGAUGACGGUACCUCCUUAGCAAGCACCGGCUAACUCUGUGCCAGCAGCCGCGGUAAGACAGAGGGUGCAAACGUUGUUC